rnacentral:lncRNA from 1 species
GUUAUAACUAAUGUAUAUAGUCUAAGUAAUUAUUCAUUAAUCCACAAAUUCAAACAAGUUGAGUCAAAAAAUCCAUAAAUGGGAAUGGUUGCUUUAGAAAGCUUCCAUCUAUUCUAUUAAAAUAGAAGUUACAACAACAUUUCAUCUGUGAUUUUUUUUAAAAAAUUUAUUAUCCCUUAGAAAAUUACUUAAAUGAAUUUUUGUAUACAUACUUAAAUUAUUUUAAAUAUCCUAAAUAAAUCAAAUAGAUAUUCUCAUAUUUUCUCUGAAUUACAUCUGAAUAAAAUCUUUUCAUAUCUGUCUACUUACAAUAUAAAUAUAUAUUUCAUCUCUUUCUUAUUAGUAGAGAAACAAUUUGAAACACUAACAUUUAUUUUGCACGUUAUUUACAGCCAUGUCAUGCCGACCUCAGGCCUCCAC